UCCGAGUUGACCCCGGCAGUCUCCUAUGAGUCCCCACCAUUACGUGCUGGCAACAUAGGACGAGGGUUGCGCUCGUUGCGGGACUUAACCCAACAUCUCACGACACGAGCUGACGACAGCCAUGCAGCACCUGUGUUCAGGUUCCCUUUCGGGCACCAGGGCAUCUCUGCCCCGUCCCUGACAUGUCAAGGGUAGGUAAGGUUUUUCGCUUUGCAUCGAAUUAAACCACAUGCUCCACCGCUUGUGCGGGCCCCCGUCAAUU
rnacentral:misc_RNA from 1 species